UCUGAGCUUUGGGUUAACUGACUUCAUCACCUUCUUUCAGCUUUUCACACAGGGACUAUUGGGAAUGUGGAGACUUUUAACCAGACCUCAAACUUGACAGCAAAAGGACAUGGUCCACAGCCAAGUACUGCUCUGGAAACCAGCUCACCUGCCACUAAAAUAGGGAUUCAUGAAACACUGAUGCCCACUACAAAGAUGCCAAAACACACAGCACUUGGAGGCACCAUAUGGUCUACACCAUCACAGAGUAC
rnacentral:lncRNA from 1 species